AAGGUGGGAUGACGUCAAAUCAGCACGGCCCUUAUGUCCAGGGCUACACACGUGUUACAAUGGUCGGUACAGAGGGCAGCUACCUGGUGACAGGAUGCUAAUCUCGAAAACCGGUCUCAGUUCGGAUCGAAGUCUGCAACUCGACUUCGUGAAGCUGGAUUCGCUAGUAAUCGCGCAUCAGCUAUGGCCGCGGUCGAAUACGUUCCCGGGCCUU
rnacentral:rRNA from 1 species